rnacentral:tRNA from 1 species
GCGGUUGUAGCUCGGUGGAAGAGCACUUGCCUUGCGUGCUUGAGGUCCUGGGUUCGAUCUUCAGCACCACA